UACGGAGGGUGCAAGCGUUAUCCGGAUUCACUGGGUUUAAAGGGUGCGUAGGUGGGCAGUUAAGUCAGUGGUGAAAUCUCCCGGGCUCAACCCCGGAAACUGCCAUUGAUACUAUCUGUCUUGAAUAUCGUUGAGGUAAGCGGAAUAUGUCAUGUAGCGGUGAAAUGCUUAGAUAUGACAUAGAACACCAAUUGCGAAGGCAGCUUGCUAACCGAAUAUGACACUGAGGCACGAAAGCGUGGGAUCAAACAG
rnacentral:rRNA from 1 species